GCCAAAACUAGAGUCACAGCCUGGUAUAGCAUAUGUCCUGGUGAACUAGAGUUCUCUGAGAGAAUGUGCUGGUCUUGGUACACUGGUAGGAGCACCCAGUGCCCAGUUACUGCUCAGGGCAGAAAAGUGC